rfam:TPA: Bos taurus chromosome 15, whole genome shotgun sequence.
UCCCUCGUAGUCUAAUGGUUAGGACUUGGUGCUAUUGCUGCUGGGGCCUGGGUUCAAUCCCUGGUCAGGGAA